UGAAUUCAUGACCCAAAUAUUCUAGGGUAUUGCCAAUCUGGAGGCAAGAAGUUGAAAUUUAAGGCCAGUUCUAUUUCUUUUAAAUUAAAAACAAGCUGCCGUGAGGGCUUUACAGCUUUUGGAAUUGAAAACAUUCAUUCCCUAAACCUAGCCAUUGAAGUUUUAGACAUUUAUUCCAUAGAAAUAACUGGACAAGUACAUAAGAGGCAAUUGGAGCCUGGUAAUACCAGAUAUUCUCAUUUUUCAAGAGAAGUCCGAUAGCAGACACAAAAGUGAAAUACCAGGAUUUAAAAAACUAAUUUGAAAAAUAAUUAAAAUUAGGGAGCCCAAAACAGCAUGGUUGUGGGCCAGAUUUGGCCUGCAUGCCACUAGUUUAUAACUUCUCCUUUUAUCCUCUGCAGACACAGAUCCAGAGAAGCGAGGCCACUUUCUAGGGCCUUAGUGACAGAGCAGAGCAGGAACAGAGACCAGCGAUUAUCUGGCCAUCACCUCAGGCUGCCUGCCUCAACACCCAGGGACCCGGUGAGCUGAUUUACAGAGAGAUGUCCCGAGAAUAAAACCAACUCAGAGGAAAGCAGAGCCCACAGGCAUAGAGGUGACAUCAUCUGAGCACCUGGAUCCAGCUAUGGCAGGGGUUUUCAUUUACUUAGACUUUGAUAGUGCUGUGAAGACAUCAGAAAGACUCAUCACCCAAGGCCAGCAUCAUCACUGAGCAACAGCCACUUACAUACACAAAAGGCAGUUAAGCUCUUGUUGCCCAGGCUGGAGUGCAAUGGCGUGAUCUCAGCUCACUGCAACCUCCACCUCCCAAGUUCAAGCGAUUCUCCUGCCUCAGACUACCGAGUAGCUGGGAUUACAGGCAUGCACCACUAGGAAUAAUUUUUUAAAAAAAUAUUUUUAGUAGAGACAGGAUUUCACCAUGUUGGCCAGCCUGGUUUCAAACUCUUGACCUCGUGAUCCACCUGCCUCGGCCUCCCAAAGUACUGGGAUUACAGGCAUGAGCCACCACGCCCGGACUGAAAUGACAUAAUUCUUGAGCUCUGUGGUGUUGGGAGGACAGUGAGAAACACACUUACUCAGAAAGCUUUGACUCAAAGUGGCGGAUGAUCUGGGUGGAGAAACGUAUUUUCUGCACGACAUUGGUGCCCUCCUCCCUGAAGAAGCAAAGCCUCAUGAGGGGGUCUCUCAGGCCCAGGGGGCUGCAUGUGUCACUGCAGCUGUGGGGGGUGUGAGGAACAGCUUCAGACUUACAGAACUUCCGUGCCCUGGCUCAUCAGGUCAGCCAAGGGUUUCACCAUGUUGGCCAGCCUGGCCUCAAACUUCUGGACUCAAGCGAUCCUCCCAUCUAGGCCUCCCAAAGUGCUGAGGUUACAGAUGCGAACGACCGUUCCUGGU